UACGGGGGGGGCAAGCGUUGUUCGGAAUUACUGGGCGUAAAGGGCGCGUAGGCGGUCAGAUAAGUCAGCUGUGAAAACCUCGGGCUUAACCCGAGGCCUGCAGUUGAAACUGUUUGGCUGGAGUGUGGGAGAGGAGAGUGGAAUUCCCGGUGUAGGCGGUGAAAUGCGUAGAGAUCGGGAGGAACACCAGUGGCGAAGGCGGCUACCUGGACCCAGCAC
rnacentral:rRNA from 1 species